rnacentral:miRNA from 1 species
UAUUAGGUUGGUGCAAAAGUCAUUGUGGUUUUUGUCAUACUUUAACAGCAAUGACUUUUGCCCUAACCUAAUA